AUUGAACGCUGGCGGCAGGCCUAACACAUGCAAGUCGAGCGAGCGGCGGACGGGUGAGUAAUGUUUGGGAAACUGCCUGAUGGAGGGGGAUAACUACUGGAAACGGUAGCUAAUACCGCAUACCCUCAGAUGUGCCAAGAUUGGAUUAGCUAGUGGGUGGGGUAACGGCUCACCUAGGCGACGAUCCCUAGCGGGUCUGAGAGGAUGACCAGCCACACUGGAACUGAGACACGGUCCAGACGCCUACGGGAGGCAGCAGUGGGGAAUAUUGCACAAUGGGCGCAAGCCUGAUUCAGCCAUGCCGCGUGUGUGAAGAAGGCCUUCGGGUUGUAAAGCACUUUCAGCGGGGAGGCGUUACCCGCAGAAGAAGCACCGGCUAACUCCGUGCCAGCAGCCGCGGUAAUUC
rnacentral:rRNA from 1 species